UACGGGGGGGGCAAGCGUUGUUCGGAAUUACUGGGCGUAAAGGGCGCGUAGGCGGUUGGAUAAGUCAGCUGUGAAAACCACGGGCUUAACUCGUGGCCUGCAGUUGAGACUGUCUGGCUUGAGUGUGGGAGAGGAGAGUGGAAUUCCUGGUGUAGCGGUGAAAUGCGCAGAUAUCAGGAGGAACACCGGUGGCGAAGGCGGUUCUCUGGGCAUGACCUGACGCUGAGGAGCGAAAGUGUGGGGAGCGAACAGG
rnacentral:rRNA from 1 species